CCUAAUUGAUUCUGCUAGUAGUUAUAUACUUAUCUUAAAGAUUAAGUUAUAUAUAUCUCAAUAUAAGUAAUUAUAUAGUGAAACUGUGAAUAGCUUAUUAUAUAAGUUAUUAUUUAUUUAAUAGUAUCUUACUAUUUAGAUAAUUAUAGUAAUUCUAGAGCUAAUAUAUACUAAAAAUUCCAACUUUAGAAGGGAUAUAUUUAUUAGAUUAAAAACUAAUACCUUUUAGGGUUUACUGGUAAUUUAUAAUAAUUUCUUGAAUUAUAUAGUUUUAUGCUAGCAAUAGUUUAUUUAAAUUUCUUCCCUAUUAAUUUUCAAUACUAAAGUAGUAUUCUAAUAUAGUUAUAAUAGGUAAUAGAGGGUUAGGGUUUAAUUCUGGAGAAGGAGCCUGAGAAAUAGCUAUUAUAUCUAAGGAAGGUAGUAGGUAUGUAAAUUACCUCAUUCCGAUACAGAGAAGUAGUGAUAAUAAAUACUAAUAUAAGGCUCUUUUAGGUCUUAUAAUUAGAAUAAGUAUAAUUUAAAUCCCUUAAUAAGGAAUAAUUAGAAGGUAAGUUUAAUACUAGUAGCUAUAGUAAUUUUAGUUCUAAUAGUGUAUAUUAAAGUUGUUAUAGUUAAAAAGUUUGUAGUAGAACUUUAAGCCUGACUGGCUAGUCUACCUUACUAUAUACAUUAAUCCAGCUGGGCCUUUCCCUCUAUGGAACUAUAUACUUUUCACUGGGUAUACUGGAGAAAUAGGAUUUUUACUUUAAAAAAAUUAGAAUGCUCCAGGUAAGCUUAUAUUUAAAUAAAUUAGUAUAGAAUAAUAAAAUAGGAUAUACAGUUUUAUUUUAUUAGUUUCUAGGACCACUAUAAUAAAUAAUAGGGACAGUUAGGAAUAUUAGUAUUUAAUUAUGAGAAGUGAAAUUCUUAGAUUUAUUAAAAACUAACUAUUAUAAAAGUAUUUACUAAGGAUAUUUUUAUUUAUUAGGAAUAAAAAUUAGGAAAUUAAAGAUAAUUAGAUAUUAUUAUAAUCUUAACUAUAAAUUAUACUAACUAGGAAUUAGAUAAUAUUAUUUUUUAACUCAUUUAGUAUCUUAUAAGAAAUUAAAAUGCUUAGGCUCCAGGGGGAGUAUAGUUAUAAGGCUGAAACUUAAAGAAAUUGAUAGAAAGGUAUCACUAGAGGUAAAUAAUAGCUAUUUAAGCUCUACUCCAGAUAGUAAGUCUAUAAAAAGUUUAGUAGCUAACUCUAAAUUACUAGUCACCCUAAUAGUAAUAAUAUCCCCUAAUUAUAGGAAACCCUUAGAGAGUAGCACUCCUAAGUAGCAUUCAAAAGAGAUACUAUAGUAGCAGCAUAAUAGCUACUAAUAUAAGGAUAACAUACUACUUAUAAGGUAACUUACAGCUAAGCUUUUAACUAUAGGGAAGGUUCAGAGACUUAAUAAGGAUAAGUAGCGCCUCCAGACGCUACUUAAGAUAAAGUCUAUAUCUACUUAAGAAAGUAGGGACUAACUAGUAUAUUACCUGAAAAGGGAGCCUAUAAUUUAAUUUAACUUAAUAUAGGGAAACUUACUAAGUUUAGAUAUAAUAAAGAUUAAUAGAUUAAGAGCUUUUUCUUAAUUUUGUAGGUAGUAGUAUAUAGCUAUUCUUAGUUAGUGGAGUGAUUUAUCUACUUAAUUAUGAUAAUAAAUAAGAUCUUAAUCUGCUAAAUAGCCUAUAUUACUUUAGUAGUAUACUAGUUUCUUAGAGAGAUUAUUAGUUUAAGCUGAUAGAAGUUUAAGGUAAUAAUAAGUUAACUUUUAUAGG
rnacentral:rRNA from 1 species